AUGAAUCCCAGUGAGUAAAAUGACUCCCUUUGCUGAUCAUUUUAUCAUCAAUCUUUGAUGUUUUCCAGAUGCUGCCGGCUCCGGAGAGGUUAAUCUGUCUAAAUACAUUAGCUUAUAAAAGGCAAGGCUUUUUUGAGAUUUGAAUCCACAUCUGUCUCUCAACCACCCUCCAUGAGAAAGUGAUGGCCAAGCUCUGUCAGUCCACUUCUCUCUUCAGGGAAGGACCAAUGCAAGGAACCUCGACUGAACCAGACACUCUGGAAAGAGGAAGAGCUGGAACAGCCGAUGGCUCUGGUGGUCAUCCUACAACCAGAAAAGACAGCCCACUGUGCUCUGUCAAAUGACGACUUGGCCACGCCCGGAGAGGAGCAGAGAGUGCAGCCUCCCUCCCUGUCUCCUGGGUGACAAGGUCUCCGGAUGACCCCACCAACAAUGAGAUGAAAAUGAAGAGCCCUGCAGCAUAAUGAGUGUGAUAAAAAUAGGAACUUGCUGAGUAAAGGGCAGGCCACAGUGGAGGCGUGGGAGGAGGGGGAACCCUGCCCGGAGCAGGUGGACCGGGCCUCCCGGCCUGACACCCUACUCUGUCUCUGUGACUCAGACAGAUCAAGGCUGGUAGAGGGGGUGGCAGGGAAGCCAGAGAGGGACUGAAGAGUGGGCUUACUUGAAUGUCCCAAGCAGACUCUGUCCUGGUCACUGUGACUCUGACCUCCACAGGGGGUGGACAAGGUGUGGCCAAAACACACGCUGAUGGGGGUUGGGAAAUUCCUGCCCAUGUCUUGAACCUCUUGCCUGCCAAUAAGCGUCAGAAAAUGCAUUAAGAGUUAAUGUGUCAAUUUUUCUUAAAACACUGUGCCUUUUGUCUGUAGUAUAGAGUGGAAGAAGCCUGCUAACUGUGCCUCCUUCCCUUCUUCUUUCCCUUCCUUUCUUCUCUCUUCAGUUGGCAGCUUGGAGUGUCUGCCAGCAGAGGCAGCCGCUCCUACAGAAGGAAGGCUCUAGGUGAGCAGUGACAGCUGUCUGUGAUGCCUUCUAGCACCUUGCCCCUCUACAGUCUUGCUUUUUUAAGUUAUCUUCUAAAAAAUUAAAAUUU
rnacentral:lncRNA from 1 species